rfam:Treponema denticola ATCC 35405, complete genome.
ACCGCCACGGAUGGCGGUAGUGCCAAGCAGUAGCAAGUUUUUCGUUAGAAAAACUCGUCGUUGAAAAGUGUACACGGAGGUACGCUUUUCAACACAC